CCCGCGUUAAGGUGGGAUGAGAGCAGCGCGUGCACGGGCAAAAUAAGAAGCAACAGACCAAGCGGACUGAAACCGAGCUCGUGCAGCACUUUGAAAACAUUUCUGUGUUCGGAGCGGGGCGCGAGGUCGGAGAAGAGGAGAGCCGUUACGCGCGAGAGAGGAAGUACGAGGGGCUCGUGGACAUCAGGUGGACGCGCAUUCCAUCACAUCUCCUCAGGCUAAGUCUGUACCAGUGAGGAGGAAGGUUUGGAGAACCAAGGAGAGCUGAGGAGUUGGACGACGAAAAGAAGAAGAAGAAGAAGAGAGUGAAGGAAAAGAGGAAGGCUGUAGGAGAGCUACACCACAACAGGAAGCAGAACUACACACGAGCACCCAGCAAGUGUGCGUGCGUGUGCGCGUGUUGUCUGGGAUAGAGCGAGCGGCAGACAGCGCGAGGGAGAGAGAGAGCGAGAGAGAGGGCGAGGGAGAAAACGAGGAAGGAAGGGAGGGAGAGCGACGCGGAGGCUGGGAGAGCCGAUUCCCCCCCUCCCUCUCCUCCUCUCCUCCUCUCUCUCUCCUAUCCUCCCCUUCCCUCUCCCUCUCCCUCUCCCUCUCCCUCCCCUCCCUCGCUGUUCUGCUCUCUCUCUGGAGCUGGCGUGUAGUGGCGUUGGGCUCGCUCGCAACAACCAUGACAGAUGUCAGCGUGGUGAAAGAGGGAUGGCUCCAGAAAAGGGG